CCCAAAUAUCCAUGGCCAGGUGGCAAAGCACAGCCGAAUGCGUCUCACCCUGAAGAUUCAGCUCAGGCCUCAGAAGGAGAAAAAACCAAGGCAGAAGGUCCUCCAAUGUCACUGUCUCAGCGGUCAGAAGAAGAUUGAGGGAGUCCUAGACAGCCAGCUGCUGGGUGCUUUAUUCCAUAACAGGAGCAGAGGGCAGCAACAGAACAGUCAGCCAGUGAGGAAGAGCAAAUACAAGAGUCUGAUUUUCUGAUAUGCUGCAGUCACAUGUUCUUUAAAAGGUGCACAACUGGAGCAGGAACAGGAACAGUUGGAUCCCAGGCUGCAGGAGGUCUAAGAACAGAUAAGCAAAAGGAAGAGGGAAGAAAAAGAAGUCAUACUAUAGCUUCCAUGUGCUCAUAAUACACGUAUUGUGUUAGAAUGUUAUCAGAAAGGAUUAUCCCAUUAGAUCUCCAAAGAGAUUCUUGGGAGAAGGAAUCUUUCAGAAAUACCACUUAAACACACUGACUGAAGAGUACUUUUGGAGGUUCAAAAGGCAAUGCCUAUUUUUCUGUCAUUUCUCUUACCAUACACCCAAUCACAUCUCUUUCUCUUAAAAUGGUGAAUCAGCAACAUCCACAAACUUGACUCAGUUUCCUAGGAUUAGAGGGUAUUUUUGAAGGUCAGUAUUAAAAUUCUGCCUGUGCCAUAGCACAACAAAUGCACAUACCUGUCCAGCAACACAUCCAUUUUCUGUUAGUCCUAACUCAAGACUGAAUAAGCAACACAGAGGGAAAAGAACAAACCCUUGUUUCAAAAAUAUAAAGGUGGCUGGUAGCCCUUUUGUUACUUGUAAGAAAAACAUAUCUGUGAUGAGGUAGUGAGGCAAUACAUACUUUCAGUUGGGAAACUCAUUACUUCAAGACAAGUCUUCAGUAGCACUUACUGAUUGAACAAGAUGUUGUACUGAGGGCACAUGCCUAAAUUCUGCCGAAUGGAGUCCAUGUGUAUCUGGAUGUCCUUACCACCAACCAGUAUUGUUCCAGAUGUAGGUGGGAACAAAC